UUUUUUAUAAAAGUAAUUUAUUUAUUUAAGGUUUUAGUAUUAAUUAAAAAUUAAUUUAUAGAUUUAUAGUUUAAUAGUAUUGUAAAAGAAUUAAUUAAAUUUAUAAAAGAAUAAUAUUAGUACCUUUUGUAUCAGGGUUGAUUAAAAUUUUUAAUUUUUUUUUAAUUUCUCAAAAUUUAUAGAGUUAAUUUUAUUAUUAAUUUAUUGUAUUAUAAAUAUUUAUAAAAUAAUAUUGGUUUUGAAAUUUAAUUCGUUAUAUUAUAUUUAGUUAUUUAAGAUUUAAAUUUAAUUUAAAAUUUUAAAAGUUAUAUUGGUUUUUUAUAUUAAUAUUUUAAAUUUAAAUUAUUUUAGGGAUAAGCUUGAAAUUUUUAUAUAAUAAUUUAUUUAUUUUAAUAAUUUAUAGGAAUAGAAAUUUUUAUUUUAAGUUUGUAAAAAUUUAUUAUUUAUUAAUUUUUAAUUUAUUAUAAAUUUAUUUAUUUUUUAUAUUAAAUUUUAUUAAUUAAUAUUUAAUUUUUAGUAAUAAUGAUUAAAUUAGUAUAAUUUAAAUUUAUAAAUUAUGAAUUCGGCAAAAAUUAUUUUCAUCUGUUUAACAAAAACAUUGUAUUAAGUUUUAUUUAAUAUAGGAUCUGCUCAAUGAUUUAUUAAAUAGCUGCAGUAUUUUGACUGUGCAAAGGUAGCAUAAUAAUUAGUCUUUUAAUUGAGGACUUGUAUGAAAGAUUUGAUGAAAAAUAAACUUUAUUAUUUAUAUAAUUAAAAUUUUAUUUUUAAGUAAAAAAGCUUAAAUUAUUUAAAGGGACGAUAAGACCCUAUAAAACUUUAUAAAUAUUAAUUUUAAUUUUUUUGGUUUCAUAAGUAUUUUAAUUUUAAUAUUUAUUUUAUUGGGGUGAUAAAAAAAAUUAUUAAACUUUUUUUAAAAUUAUACAUAAUUUAGUGAAUUUUUGAAUUAAAAUUUUUAAUUAAAGGAAAAAGUUACUUUAGGGAUAACAGCGUAAUUAAUUUUUUAAGUCCAAAUUUAAAAAUUAGUUUGCGACCUCGAUGUUGAAUUAAGAUUAAUCUUAGGUGCAAAAUUUUAAGUAUUAGGUCUG
rnacentral:rRNA from 1 species